UUUAUUCUCUCUCUCCAUUACAUCCACUUCCAAAUAGUAGCCUCCCAGCACAUCACAAUAGAAUGUAGAAGCAGGUAAAGUCCCAACUCACUAACACAGGUGGAUAGUGUAAUCACACGUAUCCAAUACCUGCCCUAGAAUCUGUGAGCCUAAUUGUUGUCCCACCGCACGCGCCUCGCAUCCCAGAAAGGAAGAUGCUUCUAUGCUCUGUGUUCAGACUUCAGAGUUGACGGACACUUGCUGUCCACGCACCUCCACCCCCGGCCCUUUGGUGCAACGAUUAAGGCCUUGUGUAGUUUGUGAUAUAUUUUGAAUUUGGCUACAAUAGAACUUUUAUUUGUAUUUAGUAAUUAUUGUCCAACUAGAUACUAACUAGGUUCAAAAAAAUCAUCUGGC
rnacentral:lncRNA from 1 species